GCGAGUGAAGCGGCAAAAGCUCAAAUUUGAAAUCCUUCGGGAGUUGUAAUUUGUAGGUUGGGAGACCCCGCGGCUAGUGGCACCAAGUCCCUUGGAACAGGGCGCCUUAGAGGGUGAGAGCCCCGUAGGUACCACAACACCGUCUUGUGUCUCCUCUCCAAAGAGUCGAGUUGUUUGGGAAUGCAGCUCAAAGUGGGUGGUAAAUUCCAUCUAAAGCUAAAUACCGGCGAGAGACCGAUAGCGAACAAGUACAGUGAUGGAAAGAUGAAAAGCACUUUGAAAAGAGAGUGAAACAGUACGUGAAAUUGUUGAAAGGGAAGGGCUUGCAAGCAGACACGGCCUUCGUGCCGGGCCAGCAUCGGUUGCUAGGGGUGGAUAAGGAACAAGGAAUGUAGCUCCUCGGAGUAUUAUAGCCUUGCGCGAUACACCCACUGGCGACCGAGGCCUGCGGUAUUCUUUACCUAGGAUGCUGGCGUAAUGGUUGCAAG
rnacentral:rRNA from 1 species